rnacentral:rRNA from 1 species
AGUGAACGCUGGCGGUAGGCCUAACACAUGCCAGUCGAACGGCAGCACAGUAAGAGCUUGCUCUUACGGGUGGCGAGUGGCGGACGGGUGAGGAAUACAUCGGAAUCUACUUUUUCGUGGGGGAUAACGUAGGGAAACUUACGCUAAUACCGCAUACGACCUACGGGUGAAAGCAGGGGAUCUUCGGACCUUGCGCGAUUGAAUGAGCCGAUGUCGGAUUAGCUAGUUGGCGGGGUAAAGGCCCACCAAGGCGACGAUCCGUAGCUGGUCUGAGAGGAUGAUCAGCCACACUGGAACUGAGACACGGUCCAGACUCCUACGGGAGGCAGCAGUGGGGAAUAUUGGACAAUGGGCGCAAGCCUGCUCCAGCCAUACCGCGUGGGUGAAGCAGGCCUUCGGGUUGUAGAGCCCUUUUGUUGGGAAAGAAAAGCAGCAGGUUAAUACCCCGCUGUUCUGACGGUACCCAACGAAUAAGCACCGGCUACCUUCGUG